rnacentral:rRNA from 1 species
AUACGGAAGGUCCGGGCGUUAUCCGGAUUUAUUGGGUUUAAAGGGAGCGCAGGCGGAGAUGCAAGCGUGACGUCAAAUUUCGGGGCUCAACCCCGUCUCGCGUCGCGAACUGCGUCCCUUGGUUGCGGGAAGGGGAGGCGGAACUCGUGGUGUAGCGGUGGAAUGCAUAGAUAUCACGAAGAACUCCGAUCGCGAAGGCAGCCUUCCGGCCCGUCAACGACGCUCAUGCUCGAAGGUGCGGGUAUCAAACAGGAUUAGAUACCCUGGUAGUCCGCACAGUAAACGAUGGACACCCGCGGUUUGGCCUAUAUGGCUGAGCCGCCAAGCGAAAGCGUUAAGUGUCCCACCUGGGGAGUACGCCGGCAACGGUGAAACUCAAAGGAAUUGGCGGGG